rnacentral:tRNA from 1 species
UGCGAAAUGGUGUAACGGUAGCACAGCAGACUCUGACUCUGUUUGUCUGGGUUCGAAUCCUAGUUUCGCAACCA